UGCCUUAAUUAUGGGUUAUGGCU
rnacentral:siRNA from 1 species